CUGAACCUCCAGGACUUUCUUACUCUCAAGCUAGUCUACAUUUAGCCUCCAGAAAUUCAUGAAAAUUAUCAUUUAAAUGUUCUUACAGUGUUUGGCUCCAGCGGUUUCUGCUCCAGGAAUAUUAGCCCUGCACUAACAUCUACCACGAAUCCUCCUCUUUUUGCUGAGGAAGACUGGCCCUGAGCUAACAUCUGUGCCCAUCUUCCUCCAUUUUCUGUGGGACGCUUGCCACACCAUGACUCGACAAGUGGUGCAUAGGUCUGCACCAGUGAUCUCAACCGGCAAAUCCUGGGCCGCCGAAGUGGCAGUGAGCCAUUAUAGAGGCAGCGUGCACCCUAAGCAGCAAGAGUGGUGGCCGUUCAGCUCCUUCCCUGGGAACUACUCUCAGCAUCUCAGCAUCAAGCUGUCACAGCUUUGAACUGUGCCUGCACAAGUGACUAUGUGGCAGAGAUCCUCAGCUACAGAUUUGUUGUGGAUUAUAUGGCGGAGCACGUACAAGAGAGAACUUGAAUUUUUUGUAGGCCCAAAAAUAAGGCUGGGUAUUUUAAACCUCAAGGCAAACAAUUUAAAAAUUUCUCCUUUGUCAUUGACAAUUUGCAAAAUGAAAGAUCUCCCUGCCUUUCUGUAACUCAUGAAUUUAUUUAUUUAUUGAGAGAAAAAGUAGGAUUUGUAUAGUUUAUGGAGGAAAAUCAGAGCUAUAAUCCUAAAAUACAGAUGUGCAAAUAAUAAUCCUUCAUUUAGGUACAUGCUAUCUAAAAGAUAAAUUCACGACUCCAUAUUAAUAUGCACAAAAUAUGUCCCAAUGAAGCUUCAAUCUCCCCAACACACUCCACCCCCAACUAGCUCGAUACCCCAACCACGCGGACUUCAUCCUUCCCCAAAACACCCUUUUCAGCCUCCUGUCUUUGGACAUGAUGCUUCUUACACAAUAAAUUUUUCUUCUAAUU
rnacentral:lncRNA from 1 species